rnacentral:rRNA from 2 species
CAGUCGAGCGAACGGACGAGAAGCUUGCUUCUCUGAUGUUAGCGGCGGACGGGUGAGUAACACGUGGAUAACCUACCUAUAAGACUGGGAUAACUUCGGGAAACCGGAGCUAAUACCGGAUAAUAUUUUGAACCGCAUGGUUCAAAAGUGAAAGACGGUCUUGCUGUCACUUAUAGAUGGAUCCGCGCUGCAUUAGCUAGUUGGUAAGGUAACGGCUUACCAAGGCAACGAUGCAUAGCCGACCUGAGAGGGUGAUCGGCCACACUGGAACUGAGACACGGUCCAGACUCCUACGGGAGGCAGCAGUAGGGAAUCUUCCGCAAUGGGCGAAAGCCUGACGGAGCAACGCCGCGUGAGUGAUGAAGGUCUUCGGAUCGUAAAACUCUGUUAUUAGGGAAGAACAUAUGUGUAAGUAACUGUGCACAUCUUGACGGUACCUAAUCAGAAAGCCACGGCUAACUACGUGCCAGCAGCCGCGGUAAUACGUAGGUGGCAAGCGUUAUCCGGAAUUAUUGGGCGUAAAGCGCGCGUAGGCGGUUUUUUAAGUCUGAUGUGAAAGCCCACGGCUCAACCGUGGAGGGUCAUUGGAAACUGGAAAACUUGAGUGCAGAAGAGGAAAGUGGAAUUCCAUGUGUAGCGGUGAAAUGCGCAGAGAUAUGGAGGAACACCAGUGGCGAAGGCGACUUUCUGGUCUGUAACUGACGCUGAUGUGCGAAAGCGUGGGGAUCAAACAGGAUUAGAUACCCUGGUAGUCCACGCCGUAAACGAUGAGUGCUAAGUGUUAGGGGGUUUCCGCCCCUUAGUGCUGCAGCUAACGCAUUAAGCACUCCGCCUGGGGAGUACGACCGCAAGGUUGAAACUCAAAGGAAUUGACGGGGACCCGCACAAGCGGUGGAGCAUGUGGUUUAAUUCGAAGCAACGCGAAGAACCUUACCAAAUCUUGACAUCCUUUGACAACUCUAGAGAUAGAGCCUUCCCCUUCGGGGGACAAAGUGACAGGUGGUGCAUGGUUGUCGUCAGCUCGUGUCGUGAGAUGUUGGGUUAAGUCCCGCAACGAGCGCAACCCUUAAGCUUAGUUGCCAUCAUUAAGUUGGGCACUCUAAGUUGACUGCCGGUGACAAACCGGAGGAAGGUGGGGAUGACGUCAAAUCAUCAUGCCCUUAUGAUUUGGGCUACACACGUGCUACAAUGGACAAUACAAAGGGCAGCGAAACCGCGAGGUCAAGCAAAUCCCAUAAAGUUGUUCUCAGUUCGGAUUGUAGUCUGCAACUCGACUACAUGAAGCUGGAAUCGCUAGUAAUCGUAGAUCAGCAUGCUACGGUGAAUACGUUCCCGGGUCUUGUACACACCGCCCGUCACACCACGAGAGUUUGUAACACCCGAAGCCGGUGGAGUAACCUUU